CAGAAGCACAGGAGAAGAACCAUCAGAGACACAAGCAGUGACUAGGCUUACAUUGUCACAAGCAAAGGAACACCUGGGACCCGAAGAGCAGAAGUUUCUCCCCGGACCCUCUGAAUGGGCAGAAGGACUGCAGACCACUUACUUUUGAACGUCUUGCUUGCAGAACCGUAAAUAACCACUCAUAAGCUUGGGUUGUGAAAUUCUCAGAGGCAAGCUCAUCACCAGAUGUGGCCCACAGAGAGAAGAGCCCCAGCCUGGCUCUGAGUCCACAUGCAAGGAAGGGCGACCAUGCCCAGAAGAGGAGACGAAUCUCCAUUGUGACGUUGCUAGAAGAUGCUUGGUGGGACAAUGUAGAAGGUUUCCUCCCUGGUUUCAGAGCAGGCUGCUGCAGGUAGGAGGCAGACAUGCCCUCAUUGCUCUACUUACACAUGUCAUCCCUUAUGCCUCUUCUGUUGCUGUGGUGAGAGUAUAACCUCAUCCAUCACCUAUGGUGGAAAGUUUAUGCUUUCUUGUGUGCUGCCCUUGAAGGCAGGGACUGAGUCUGACUCACGGCAGUGACAGGUAUGUCAGAAACCUGCCUUACUUAUCAUCUAAUGCAAGUGUGUGUUCAUGUGUGUGCAGGUGCAUGUGUGUACAUGUGCACAUGGAGGGUAGAGAUCAGCCUCAAGUGUCGUUUCCCAGUCCAAUUUGUCGUUUCCCAGUUUUGGAGACAGCAUCUUUAUCUUUCACUGGCCUGGAGCUUGCCUGGUAGACUAGGCUGGCCAACCAGUGAGCCUUCCUGUCUCAUCUCCCCAGUGCUGGGACUACGAACACGCCACCAUGCCCAGACUUAUUUCUUUCCAUAUGGAGUUGGAGAUCAAACUCAGGCCUCCACACUUUUGAGGUAAGCAUUUGAGUAACUGAGCCGGCUCAUCAGACUAGGAUGUACUUUAUUGAAGGGUACCCUUGGUGCAAGUCAGGAAGUCCAAAGAAAGCAGCACAGGACAGGUUGCCUCUUCUGCUCUUAGAGAUGUCAUUUGCAAAAUGGGUCAAAGGAAAUAGUCUUCUCUGAAGAGACUUAGAUUUUUAUUGCUUAAAUUAUUUCACAGGAAUAACCUUAAGCCAGACCAUUUCCAAACAUCCUGGAAAUUGCUCACUUUUCUGACUCUUUCCUCUGUGUCCAAAUAGAUAGAAGUUCUGCUUCACCUACUAACUCCCCAGAGUUCACUCCUUGGUUCCUCAUUUUACAGGUUACCUCCCUCCCCCAGCUUCCACCUGCCUUUAGCAAGGGACACCUUCCAUGAUAAACCAGGCAGGCCUGGCAUUUUCCACAAUCCCCACCUGAGUCUUCUGAUAGACCUGAGGAGAGGCAAAGUUCCUCAUAGACGGAUGCCGGGAACACACAAUGCAUGGGGAUGCCAUGGAGGACGGCAGAGAGGACUGAGGCCUUCAGCUCCCCUGAAGCAACAUUUACUUGACAUUGUAAACCGAGGGAUGCACACUGGGGAUGGGACUCUGACCCUCUGUGAGAACAGCCCAGGAACUGUGUGUUGCAUUGCGGAAACCCUCUGAAGGGUCAGCACUGUCGAAACAAAACAAAGUCAAAAUGAAGACCCCAGGCACCCAGUUUAAUGCAAGCUGGAGUUCAGAUGUUGUCUCAGAUAUGAUUCUUAUUCAGCCAGUCAGUAUGUGUUUCCUGAAAUCUCACUGGUGUCACAGAGAGACAGCAGAGUGAUAUGCGUUGGCGGCCGGAUGACUUGAAAUGGCACUGCAAACACAAGAUGAUUUUACUUACGAAAUAUGGAGUUUUCAUAAAAUAGUUUGGGAUGAAGGAGACGGAGAAAAAGAACAAUGGGAAACCCCAGAAGACAAAACCUUUAAAAGUUCUUACGUGCUUGGUAUGCCUCUCCCUACUAAAUGUAAAAGAAAUCCCCCCAAAUAAAUAGUUUAAGAAAGUUUUGUAAACAGCAACUUAAUAAAAUUUACCCUAAUAAAGCUUUA
rnacentral:lncRNA from 1 species